GAACGCCCCGCAAGGGGAGUGGCAGACGGGUGAGUAACGCGUGGGAAAAACCAUUCCUGCGGAAUAGCUCCGGGAAACUGGAAUUAAUACCGCAUACGCCCUACGGGGGAAAGAUUUAUCGGGGAAGGAUUGGCCCGCGUUGGAUUAGCUAGUUGGUGGGGUAAAGGCCUACCAGGGCGACGAUCCAUAGCUGGUCUGAGAGGAUGAUCAGCCACAUUGGGACUGAGACACGGCCCAAACUCCUACGGGAGGCAGCAAUGGGAAUAUUGAGACAAUGGGCGCAAGCCUGAUCCAGCCAUGCCGCGUGAGUGGAGAAGGCCUUAAGGUUGUAAUGCUCUUUCACCGCAGAAAAUCAUGACGAUAUCCGGAGAAUAAGCCCCGGCUAACUUCC
rnacentral:rRNA from 1 species